UGAGCAUCAAUUGAUGAUCACCGCUCGUAUACACGCUUCCUACGGCGCUAGCUGUCGUGUUUACCAGAACAAGUGCCCUCAUCUUGAAUUGGACGUUUGCUACCUCGUGUGUAUUGUGAUCAUACGUACAACAAGCCACAGUCUACACUAGGGAAGCCGAGAUGAGGCAAGACCACUGCCUAGAAUAGAACACCAUGCUCCUUCAAAUCAAGGCUCGAGACUUCUACUGCGGCAGAUA